AGUGAACGCUGGCGGUAGGCCUAACACAUGCCAGUCGAACGGCAGCACAGUAAGAGCUUGCUCUUACGGGUGGCGAGUGGCGGACGGGUGAGGAAUACAUCGGAAUCUACUUUUUCGCGGGGGAUAACGUAGGGAAACUUACGCUAAUACCGCAUACGACCUACGGGUGAAAGCAGGGGAUCUUCGGACCUUGCGCGAUUGAAUGAGCCGAUGUCGGAUUAGCUAGUUGGCGGGGUAAAGGCCCACCAAGGCGACGAUCCGUAGCUGGUCUGAGAGGAUGAUCGGCCACACUGGAAGUGAGACACGGUCCAGACUCCUGCGGGACGCAGCAGUGGGGAAUAUUGGACAAUGGGCGCAAGCCUGAUCCAGCCAUACCGCGUGGGUGAAGAAGGCCUUCGGGUUGUAAAGCCCUUUUGUUGGGAAAGAAAAGCAGCAGGUUAAUACCCCGCUGUUCUGACGGUACCCAAAGAAUAAGCACCGGCUAACUUCGUG
rnacentral:rRNA from 1 species